rnacentral:lncRNA from 1 species
CAAUGCAAAAUAUCUAGUGUAUUUUAAUAAUAUACAUGCGAAUGCAAUGAGACAAUUAAUAUAUCCCAUGAAGGCGGUGUAGGAUUUUGGGAUAACCCUCUCUGUCCAACUAGCUAGCCACCCAUAUAAAUUACAUAUGGAAUUUUAUCAAAAUCCUCAGUAUCAAUUUGGCCAACUUGUGUUUAAACCCUAAACCCUAUAUAUG